CAUACAUAUACGGGGUCCUGAGGCGAGAUAACAAAAUGAGGCCCUUGUGAACAAAAAAAUUAAGAAUAUAUUGUAUUUUAAAAGCAUUUCAGUACAUAGCACAGGUUGAUGGUCGAGAGAACUACAUCAUAAUAGUAUGAAAACAACAUAGUUCUACAAAAGAGCGCUCUUCUAACUUCCUCAAAGAGACUAUCAUCUCACUCUUCUAAAUAUGAAAACCUUGUCAAAACCUG
rnacentral:lncRNA from 1 species